GGGUGAUGCUGCUUUUAGUCAAAGCAGCUACAAAACUCCGAGAGCAAGUCGGCCGUUUUCUACAUCUGGGCUGGCCGGGCUCCUUCUCGGAUUUAUCACAGGCGGGCAGCCGCUGACCCCUCCCUUUGCUAUUGGAGGUGGCUGCCCCGCCCCAGAGGCGCUCCUGCCACCCGCCCCUCCGACGGGGGGUGCCUCCAGCCACUUGUCCACAGCCUCGGGAGUCCCCACAGCAGAGGCAGCCGUGGGAGGAACAUGGAAACGGAGCAAGGGGAGGGACAGGAGCUCUCAGUCCUGCCUUCAGGAGCGCCCAGAGACACGCUUCACAGAACUGGGUCGGGGUGCUAGGGAUCCAGGUCAGGAGGGCCUCGCAGAUGCCCAGAAGGUUCGGAGGAAGCAGCUGCAGUUUCCGGAAUGUGCCAGGCUCCCUGGUGCUUCUGAGCGUCUGCAAGUGUGGCCCCCCUGCCUGAAACACCCCCACCCUCCUGCUGGUCUGGCCACCUCCCAGUCAGCCUUGUCCAGUUACCUUUUCCUGCCUCACUUCCCCACAGAGCGAGUGUGGCUCCUCUCAGCUCUCCCAGCCCCUCACCCUUGAGCCUCUAGUUUGGCAGCUGUCACACGAGCUACAGUCACGACUGGUCUGUCACCCAUUGCAGACGGGGCUCCUGGAAGGGUGAUGCUACGGCUCCCCCGGCUUCUAGCACGGGGCCCAGCACAGAAUGGGAGCUGAGGAAAUGUUUGCAGCAAGAGAUAAAACUGCUUCACAGUGUGUGUUAUGAGUUGAACUGUUUCCCCCAAAAAGAUAUGUUGAAGUCUUAUGACCUGAAUUGUGUUUCUCCAAAAUCCAUAUGUUGAAGCCCUAACCCCUGUACCUCAGGAUGUGACUGCAUUUGGAGAAAGGGCCUUUAAAGAAGUAGUGUAAUUAAGUUAAAAUGAGGUCAUGUGGGUGGGCUGUAAUCCCAUCUGCCUGGAGUCCUUACGAGAAGGGAAGAUAUGGACAUAGCCAUGCCCGGAGGAAAGGCCAGGUGAAGACACGGGGAGGAGACGUUCCUCUGCAAGCCAAGGAGAGAAGCCUCGGAAGAAACCAGCCCUGCGGACCCCUUGGUCGUGGACUUCCAGCUUCCAGAACUGGCAGAAAUGCAUUUCUAUUGUUUAAGCCCCUGGGUCUGCAGUACUUUGUUAUAGCAGUCCCGCAAACGAAUACAAAGUCCUAACCCCCGGUGCCUCCGAAGGACCCUUAUUUGGAACUAGGUCAUUGCCGAUGUGAUAAGUUAAGAUGAUGUCAUACUGGAGUAGGGUGGGCCCUGAUCCAAUAUGAAUGUAUCCUUAUAAAAAGGGGAAAUUUUGACACAGACACACACACAGGGAGACCGCCACGUGGACACGAAGGCAGAGAUUGAGGUGACGUGUCUAGAAGCCCAGGAAUGCCAAAGGUGGCCAGAAAACCACCCAGAGCUGGGGAGGCCUGGAAUAGAGUCUCCGUCACAGCCCCAGCAGGAACCAUCCCUGCUCACACCUUGAUCAGAGACUUUUGGCUUGCAGAACUGCAAGGCAGUGAAUUUCUAUUGUUUCAAGCCACCUAGUUUGUGGUACUUUGUUAGGGCAGCUCUGGCAAACUAACAGAAUAUGGGAGAUUAAAAUAUCAUCCCACUACAAGUUCAUCCCAACAAGGGGUUCUGUCGGCGGCAGCACAAAGCUACCAUGAAAACACCUAAUUAUGAGAAAUGAGCUCCCAGACCCCCCUGCCCGUCACUCCCUGCUCUUAUCAACUUCUGCCCCCUCCACUCACACGGACAACUGGUUUACCUGUCUGUGUCGCCCCCAAGCCAGCCACCCCCAGAACCAUGCUCUGCCCAUUGCUGGGCUCAGUAAAAACUCUCACUUGCGGCUAAAUCACCCAUCCAGAAUCAUACUCUGCUCCCUGAAAUCCCAGACCCAGGCUGCACUGAGCCCUUCCACACGGGUACAAGAGCACAUUUAGACCAAAUUUCAGCAGGUCCAGGAAGGCCCUGGAUGCCAAAGUUGGCACCUUCUGGUGCUUCCCGACAUGCCACCCGUGGCUGACUUGCAUUCUCUGCCUUGGCUGGUACCUGUCCAGCUGCACACCUGAUACGCCCCAGCUCUAAAUAAGGAGAGGAACUAAACCCAGCACUGCCCUGUGGCAAGCUGUGGAGAAGGAAUGGGAGCGGGUGGAGGCGUACCUUCCUGCUCCAUGGACGUGUGGUUAGGAAACACCAUUCCCGGCCAGGAGCAGAAGCUGGGCUGGGGUGAGCCGAAGUCUCGGCCAAGACUCCUUGACCUUUAGGGAGUGCCUGAGACGCUACACAGCCAACAAGCUGCUGGGCCAGGGACAGUUGCAGAACCAGGAUUGGCCUACUUUAGCCCCCUGCCCAGGGCUUGAAUCCCCUCUGCAGUCUCCCUGCUUAGGGGACACCACUGUGUUUGAACACCUCAGCUGAUGUGGGACUGCUGGCAUCUUUCCUGCCUGGACCUGAGAAUGGCUGGCCAAGGCUGAGGCUUGGAGUGGCUCAUUCCCUUCCAAACUUGCCCAUAUCCGUGCAGUGGGCCACAGUUCCUGUCUGGGAGCCCCCCACUCCUGCAGGUCCUCCUCAGCAGCCUUCCCCAUGGCUCUGUGUAAAAUUUCACCCCCACCCCUUUUUCCUGCCAUAUUUCUCUUCUUGUCACUUUCCACCCUCUAAGUCCUGUUUGUGCAUUUAACUGAUAGCUUUUGGUCACCGUCUGUCUCCCCCCGUAGAGAGGCCACCCUGGGAGGGAGGGUUUAUUUGGGGGCUCGGGGUUGCUA
rnacentral:lncRNA from 1 species